rnacentral:rRNA from 1 species
GACGAACGCUGGCGGCGUGCUUAACACAUGCAAGUCGAACGGAAAGGCCCUGCUUGCAGGGUACUCGAGUGGCGAACGGGUGAGUAACACGUGGGUGAUCUGCCCUGCACUUCGGGAUAAGCCUGGGAAACUGGGUCUAAUACCGGAUAGGAGCCAUUUUUAGUGUGAUGGUUGGAAAGUUUUUUCGGUGUAGGAUGAGCUCGCGGCCUAUCAGCUUGUUGGUGGGGUAAUGGCCUACCAAGGCGGCGACGGGUAGCCGGCCUGUGAGGGUGGACGGCCACAUUGGGACUGAGAUACGGCCCAGACUCCUACGGGAGGCAGAAGUGGGGAAUAUUGCACAAUGGGCGCAAGCCUGAUGCAGCGACGCCGCGUGGGGGAUGACGGCCUUCGGGUUGUAAACUCCUUUCGCUAGGGACGAAGCUUUUUGUGACGGUACCUAGAUAAGAAGCACCGGCUAACUACGUG